UACAGAGGGGGCAAGCGUUAUUCGGAAUUAUUGGGCGUAAAGGGCGCGUAGGCGGCCUGACAAGUGGAAGGUGAAAUCCCUCGGCUUAACCGAGGAACUGCCCUCCAACUGUUUGGCUUGAGACCGGGAGAGGUGAGUGGAAUUCCCAGUGUAGCGGUGAAAUGCGUAGAUAUUGGGAGGAACACCAGUGGCGAAGGCGGCUCACUGGACCGGUACUGACGCUGAGGCGCGAAAGCGUGGGGAGCGAACAGG
rnacentral:rRNA from 1 species